CACGUUCCAUUCUGUGCAAACCUUCCCGUGUUCUAAAGCAUUCCAUGUUGGAGGCUCUGGGGCGGGUUAAGUGGUGUAUGUGUAGGUGAAGCGUUUCCGCGCAGAGCGUGUUUUCCAGUGCUCCCCGCUCUCUGGGCCGCUUGGUACGGUCUACGCCCCCCUUCACUUCCUCCGACGGUGGUUGCACCCAUCCCUCCCGGAAGCGCUCAGGCUCCACGUCAGCCAUGGAGCCGUCCGGCAGUCAGAGCGGGAGUGGCGCGGCUCCUGAACCCGCGGACUCAGCCUCAGCUUCGGUGACCCUGGCGCAGCUCCUGCAGCUGGUCCAGCAGGGCCGGGGACUCCCCGGCCUGGAGAGACGCCACGUCGUGGCGACCCUCGGCGAACCCACGGCGUCCCGGCUCCCGCGGAGGCCCAAGCCCUGGGAGGCCUCGGGCUCCGCCGACGCCCUCGCGCCGCCCUUCCAGACCCGGGGCCACAGGCCCGACGACCCUCCCUAUGGGCAGAGGACCCUCCUGGAAGAGCCUGGCUCCGGGGAGACUGCGACAGCGCCUUCCUAGAUGGCACAUAGUGGGUUCCUGAGGCUCGAGGUCCUUUGCAGCUGUGAAUGAAAAAUGUUGCUGCCCUAUCCGCAAAGGACGCUGCAGCCAUCUAGCCGUCAGCCAGUGCUGCGGCCCCGUCGGCGAGCCCUAGGGAACCGAGGAUGGAGACAGAUGGGCCGCCGGCUGCCAAGCCCUCAGCCACUGCAGACACUACCAACGGCGCACCCUGAGGGGGCUCAAGAUGGGAAAGAACAGGAUACUGGCCUUGGAUAGCUAAGGCGCAUAUCAAAGGCAAGGUGUCAGUGAGCCCAGACUCUUGCAUCUACCUGUUCACAGAAAAAAGCUCAAUUCACUAACUCUACAGUUUUGGUGACCAUGGAGGGAACCAGAGCAGACUUCUCUUCGCCUGAACUCUACGAGGAACCGGACCCUUGGUACUGGCAGAGGCUCUUGUGCCCAUCCGCCUCCUUGGAGAGUUCAUACGAACUUGGAUCGACUGAUUAAAAUUUUUCAUCGACAUAUGCUUGGUGUAGUCAGCAGGAUAUCAGAGACUCCUGCCAGAGGCUACCGGGAGUCUAUGCAGAACAAGUGCUUGGUGCCAGCGUGGGCCCAUUGAGCCCCACCUGCUUCUCAGCACUCCCCAGGUGUUUUUGGUGGGUUCUCCUGAUAUUUGGAUCUCAUUGUUUGGGUGUUGAUCCUAAAAGUUUUAUUUGAGCUGGUUUUCACUUAAGACUUAGAGUCUUAAGGGGCACUGGUGCAUUUCCUAGGCACCUAGGGCGUCUGGGCAAGAGGCCCAGGGAAACAUGUGGCUGGGGUUUUGUUAAAUUUGGCUUAAAAAAAAAAAGAGUUGAUAUAUGGUCUGAACAAAACUUUUGCUAGUGAAAUCAGAGACUGAAUUAUUCAGCGCCAAAGAAUAAAGGGACAUUUUGCUCCUUCCAGCCACAAGCCAUCCUCAGAUGACUGAGGAUCUCUGGGAAGUGUCUGAGGAUCAAUUUUCAUGAUGUGUAGCGGUCCCAUAGGGAAACCCCAUUACAGUCAUUAAGUAAGUACUGCUCAUCCAGGCGGCGUGACAGAGGCUGAGCACCUAGUGUUCCGAGCACCCAAGAUGGUUUUAGGCUGUCAUUGGGAGAAACUGAGCCACCUAAAAGAAGUCGAACCAGAGAAUUCCCUGGUGGUCCAGUGGUUAGGACUCUGUGCUCUCACUGCCAGAGGCCCAGGUUCAAUCCCUGCUCAGGGAACUAAGAUCCAGCAAGCCACAUGGUGCAGCCAGGAAAAAAAGGUUAGUAUCUGCAGAUUUUGGUAACUUGAAACUAAACCAAGGUAAAUUAUGAGAAUUCAUUCACUAUCUGGGUCAUUUCAAGCAGGAUAAAAUUCUGGAACAUUAAUUGCUGGGGAGGUCUACGUUCUUAGAAGAGGAAAACUAAACCAUAAGCAUAAGUUUGUCAAUCAGGAAAUGCUGAUAUGACAAACACCAUUUUUAUUUAUUUAUUUUGGCUGCGCCAUGUGCGGCAUGCAGGAUCUAGUUCCCUGACCAGGAUUGAACUCGUGCCCCCUGCAGUGGAAGCUUGGAGUCCUAACCACUGGACCACCAGGGAAUUCCAGAGAAAAAUUAAGGUUUUAAGGUUAAGAAUUAUAAGGGAAACAUUUCAGUAUGCAAGGAAGUAGGAUGUGUGUUUUCAGCAAAGAAGGUAUGAGGAUUGAAAAUGCAUUUUGUUAAAGGAAAAAAGGUUUUAAAAAAAAAAAAAGGUUUUGUCCUAGAGCUGCUGUUUCUGAAUAGAUACAGAAAGUUGUGGAAAGUUUGUGGAAAAGGAACACUGAGAGUUUUGUGCAUGGUCAAAAUUGGCUGAGAUAAGAUUGAACUUAAUUAAGGAAAUUUUUUUUUUUUUGCGGUACGCGGGCCUCUCACUGUUGUGGCCUCUCCCGUUGCGGAGCACAGGCUCAGCGGCCAUGGCUCAGCGGCCAUGGCUCACGGGCCCAGCCGCUCUGCGGCACGUGGGAUCUUCCCGGACCGGGGCACGAACCUGUGUCCCCUGCAUCGGCAGGCGGACUCUCAACCACUGCGCCACCAGGGAAGCCCAAGGAAAUGUUUUAAAGAGCACAGGCUCCGGACGCGCAGGCUCAGCGGCCAUGGCUCACGGGCCCAGCGGCUCCGCGGCACGUGGGAUCCUCCCAGACCGGGGCACGAACCCGUGUCCCCAGCAUCGGCAGGCGGACUCUCAACCACUGCGCCACCAGGGAAGCCCAUAACUUUUUGAUAUUUUUGACAAACUUUCCUAAGAUCAAAUACUAAAUGAAGGUCAUUUGACCUCUAACUUUGAGGUUUUCCAAAGGGUCCCUGGAGCACCUCAAAAUAUUUGUUUUCUCUCCAUCUCAGAGAGAGGAAUAUUUGGUAUGUUAAAUGGGGAGCAGUUAAAUAGAUGGUGAUAAAACUUUAGUUUAUGUCAUAUGUGUAAACAUUAUUAAUAUAUACAUUCUAGAAAUUAAGUGGAACUCCCAAAAUUCUGGUAUGUCCUGGUAAGUGAUAUCAGUCAUAAUUUUAGUGUAUGUCACAGCAGUAACCAAGUUUCUUUUCAAUUGCAUUGUAAUCAAGUUCUUUAACCUUGACUCUUAAAGUCUUUUGUCAUUUAUAGCUAGCUAUAUGGUCAGUUAACCAGAUAUUUGGUAGAAAUGAGGUUAACUUUAGAAAGAAAAAGAUUAUGUUUCAGUGAUAUUCUAGUUUUGUUAAUUCAGGCAUUUACUGGCUAAGACUCACUUCUCAGAUAGCUCCUUGCAAAGUUUAAUUAAAAGGACACUGUUUCUGAAGGCUAUCACAGUACUCUAACUUUGGAUGAAGAUCAGAUCCACCGUGACCUGCAACCAGGACAUUAUUCAUAUUGGAAAAGACAUCAGAUCAACUGAUUAAAGGCACAGGGGCUCAGCAAUCUACAUGUUAAUAGGAAACACCCACUGGCUUGAAGGGAAAAAAGCCACCUUGGUAAGCCUUGGUCUUCCACAGGGCACAGAACCAGAGGACACUAGCAAGGUCAGAGCCCAAGUGACCAAUCCUGGUAGAGCAGGACUUCUUCACAUAAGAUGCCUGGGUCCCUGAGAAAGAUCUACCAACACCCUACACUUCCAAGAAAAAAACUGGAGUGUAUGCAUGUUUGUUUUCCUGGGGAAAGGGUCCUUCCCUUCGCAUAGAUCCAAGAGUCGGUUAAAAUCCUGAGCUAGAGCAAAGCACUAAGCCAGCUGCAAAGAUGAUAAUAAGGAAGCUACCAGAUACACCCAGAGCCAGCCAGUCGGAGAGCUCACUAAGCCGUCACGGAAGUUAGAACACAGACUCACAGCAGACAACAGGGCAUUGUUUUUGUGCGCUUCUUUCUAACUGUAUUUCAAGUUCUUUCUAAAACAAGGCCCUUGGAUACCCCAGGUUCAAUAUGCCCCUGGGCCUGGUCCACUGCUGUCUUGUAUUCAUAUGUGGGUAUUUGUUCGUUCACCAACAUUAAAUCCCAGGAUAGGUGUGAUAAAACAGGACUCCCUCCUCCAUGGCACAAGUCCUUUGCUGGUUUGAGGUGGACGGCGGUCUUCGCAGAAAACACACAGGAACUUUUUCUUGGAACUGAAGUGGGAUGAAAAGUGCCUGCCCUGAACAUCACCAUCUUUUCCCUGACCCUUCCCCUCCAGUUUCUGAAGAUACAGCAGAAAAUAAUCUUGCUUGAAGACACUGGGUAACAAUUCCAUAAAACAAAAACACAUGCUUCCAAUGCACUGUGCUUUCAGAUGUGCUGAGGAAGAAAAACACAAUUUCAUUAAUUCAAAUGCAACUUGGCACCUAAGAGUAAUCACAAUAAAGAGCAAUUUCAAAGAAUUAACAUUCCUUCAGCAAGUGAUGAUUUAGAUCUUCAGGUCCUUUUUGAAAUUAGUUUUCAAUAUUAUUCUCUCUCCACCUCCAGCUAAAUGA